GGAUGUGUAUUGCUGUUUGUUGUUAUUUUAGGUCACGAUGAAGUUAAGGAAGGAAACUUUCUUAGCAUCUCCUUUCAAAAUCUCCCUGAAUGUGGAACACUGGAGAAGAAGAAGAAGCAGAACCCCCUGGCAUGAGUCAUUUGUAUAUCCUGUGAUUGUGGUUUUGUUUUACCAUCCUGCCAAGAUAUAGAUUAGAAUCCUCUGAAGGAUGACUAAAAAUUUUUGUAUGUUGCUGCUAAAAGAGCAUCAGCUGUCUACAUUAGUAUGAUCUUCUAAUUUUUGUAAUCUUUCUGAUUCUUCUCCUAGAGGUUUUGUGUUAACAGGAGCAGACAUCCAGCUUUCUUAAACGGCCUAGCAUUGCUACCACUGGCUGGGACAGCAUUAGUGCUGCUGAGGUGACGCUUCUGGUGGCAUCCAAAGUAUUAGAACAGGAUUUCCUGAGCAUAUUCAGUACAAGUAGGAUGUGUUAAAGCAGCUGGUAUGUAGAGUGCAUGCCACAUGGGAGAACCUCUGGUCUCCAGCAUCACCUUGUGAAAAAUAUGUAUUCAAGAACUGGCCUGGUAAGGCAGCACCAGUGUAAGCAAAACGGAUCUAACUUAUGCACUGUAGAGAUAUUAUUCCAGAUGCAAGAGUCUUUCUUCUGUCUCCAUGGUGUCCAUAUCAGUUCUGUCUAUAGUCAUGGUGGCUUGGACACCAGUCCCAGACACCUGAAGCUUUUUCUAAGUUUUCAAACAGGGGCCUUGUUGUACAGUGGGAGAGGAUGGAGUAUGUAGUCUGCUGGGCUACUCCACUCAGUCCCCUAGUGCAAACACCAGUCUGAAGUUCUUUUCUUAGAAAAGAAGGUGAUGAUCAGCUUUCAUUUCCUACUGGUCAUGAAUAGUUGAGAGAUGUCCGAGUUGAUUUCAGGACAUGACAGGACUGUGUAGGAAGAGCCAAAAUCUCAAAGACAUCUCCCAGAUUUCAUGAUGUUGUCAUCAGACACCUUCUAGCAGCAGCCUGCCAGGACGGUUCCAUGCUGCACCUGAAACAAUUCUUUGUGACCUCUUUUAGAUCCAGACUCUGACCAAAAACUGAGGUUCUUGGGUUGCAAAAUGAAGACUAGCAACUACAAAACUGCUGGAUGGGGAAAUGAGUGUAUCUGUGUCUUCAUCAGGAGUUUGGCACCACUGCACCUCAGAUCCGGCAGCUGGAAAAGGAUUCAUCUGGAAACUUCUAUGUUAUCCUAGGCAGUAUUGCCUGGACAGUGGCUUGUGGCUGGGAGACCUGCAGUGGGCAUUGCUGCAGUGUUUGGAAGCAGAGGUGAAUGGUACAGCAGCACUCCUGGAAAUGCUGAUAGAUGAGCUCCCCAAGAAACCUCAACAGGAGCUUAGUCUGAUCCUCUUCCCCAACAAGUCCUGAAGAACAAUAACCUAACCUGAUCUGCGGUAAAGCAGGUAUUAGAGAGCCAUUGUGGAUAGGGCUGGGGCAUGAAUAUCACAUGAGAGGACACACUGCAUACAAUAAUGGUCCAUCCAAUCUCUUUCCACUGGACUACAUUGGAGCUAUUGUUGCCAUCUUUGUGAGCAUCUGACUGAACAUCUACAGGAAAUAUUGAUGAAAAUUGCUUUUGGCCACUUGUGUAACCACAUGUAGUAUUACUGGUGUUUUCAAUUAACUCUCUUAUCAGGAUGAAAGUUAGUAGAAAUUGCUGAAGAAAAUGCUUGAAUAAAUUCCUGUAACCAA